CUUAGGCAGAGACUGUAGGGUGUGUGAGGAAAGCUCUUUAGGAUCCUCCAGGGCCUUCCCAUCAAGGAGAGAAACUGAAGGUGUGGGGCAGGUCGGAUGGAAGAAGUCCUUUGUUGGCAGACCCCAGCAGGAACAGAAGGCACAGUGAGCCAUGCAGCAGAAGGGCUCCCGUGCGUCUAGCCAUCCUUGGUGCCGCUGGUGAUGUGUGGAACAAAGAAGCUGCCUCCCUCUCCCCAGGUCCACACCCAAAGUGGGAUUGCUGACCCAGCAUCCGCAUGCCCUGGUAAAGCAGCA